CGGGUGAGUAAUGCAUAGGAAUCUACCCAGCAGUGGGGAUACCUUGGAGAAAUUCAAGUUAAUACCGCAUAUGUCCUACGGGGCAAAGCAGGGGACCUUCGGGCCUUGCGCUAUUGGAUGAGCCUAUGUCGGAUUAGCUAGUUGGUAGGGUAAAAGCCUACCAAGGCAACGAUCCGUAGCUGGUUUGAGAGGAUGAUCAGCCACACUGGGACUGAGACACGGCCCAG
rnacentral:rRNA from 1 species